GAAAUGCGAUAAGUAAUGUGAAUUGCAGAAUUCAGUGAAUCAUCGAAUCUUUGAACGCACAUUGCGCCCGGCAGCAAUCUGCCGGGCAUGCCUGUCCGAGCGUCAUUUCUGCCCUCGAGCGCGGUUCGGCCCCUAGCGGGCCGGCCGCCGCCCGGUGUUGGGGCGCUGCGGGCCCUCGUGCCCGCAGGCCCUGAAAUGAAGUGGCGGUCCCGCCGCGGCGCCCCCUGCGUAGUAGUAAAGCACCUCGCAUCGGGUCCCGGCGGAGGUCAGCCGUCGAACCUCUCUUUUGAUGGUUUGACCUCGGAUCAGGUAGGGUUACCCGCUGAACUUAAGC
rnacentral:misc_RNA from 1 species